UCGGGGUAACAAACUAAAACUGAGGGAAACGCAUUAAAUACAAGAGGAGAACAACGACACAACACUACAGUGUAACACACACAGAAACGGAUCAAGCAUCACAAAAUCCCACGAGAAUAACAAAUAUAACAUCAAAACCAAAUACAUGAAUUUGGGAUAGACAAGUACCGUGACACGUCUUAUCGCAAUGUCAAUUUACAUUCAAAAAUAAGAGAAAACAAACGACGCAACGUUAAAUUGUAACACACACAGAAACGAACUAUAAUAUAACAAUGGCCAUAUUCCUGACUUGGUACAGGACAUAUUUAAAGGAAAAAAUGGUGGGUUGAACCUGGUUUUGUGGCAUGCCAAACCUCCCCUUUUAUAGCCAUGUGAAAUAUAACAUUAAAAUGACAACUCAACACCACAGGACUACAAUAGAAAUAAAUUGGAGAACACAAUUGACAAAAAAACACGUGAACAACAGCCAACAAAAGGCAACAAGUUCAAAAUUUUAAUACGCCAGAAGUGCAUUUUGUCCACACAAGAUCUAAUAGUGACGCCCAGAUACAAAAGUUUGAAAGCCGAAACAAGCACGAAGUCGAACAGCAUCGAGGACCAAAAGAUAAAAAAAGAAGUUGUGCCAAAAACGGCCAGGGUUUUUUGUUAAGUUACCAGAGCAUCCCUAUUAUUUAGAAUAAUUU
rnacentral:lncRNA from 1 species